ACUCUAUUAAGAGGAACUCGAAGAAGCAAUUUGCUUUUCAAAUGAAAGCCAUGACAUCACUCCUGUGGUAGGCGGAAUGCUCAGAUGGCCUCUUGGUGUACAUGCUCUGUAGGAUCCCCUCCCUUUGAGUAUGUAGAACCAUGGGAUAUCACCCCCCUGAUUAUAUUACCAAUUGGUUGACUUUGAGUCAAUCAAAAGGACGAUGAUCCUGAGUGGGCCUCACAUAAUCAGGCAAGCUUUUCAAAAGAGAUCAUUUCCUGCUGGCCUCUUAAAGGAAAGCAAACAGCCGAAUUGUGACCUGCUUUGGAGCAGCCUCUGGGAGGUGAGAGCCUCAGCCCUAGGAACUGAACUCUGCCAACUGUCAGCAAGCUUCAAGGAGGACCCUGAGCCUCAGAGGACAUGCAGCGUCAGCUGACACCUUGAUUGCAGUCUGGUAAUUCCUUGAGUGGAGAACUCCAUUAACCACUGACCAGACUCCUGGCCCAUAGAAACUGUGAGAUGACAAACUUGUGUUGUGCAGUUCAUUGUGUGCCAGCCUGGCUUUCAACUGCCAGCAUAGCACCAGGCAGGCAGAAAAUGGCAGAGGACUAAUGGUUUCCUGGAGUAGUUUUCAACCUCAGCUCAUGGAAAUUUGUGUAAGAGCAUCCCAGCUCUCUCAUUUCGUUGGGAGGAUAACUGAGAGCAAAAGGAGAGCUUCCGGAAAACAAAGAGCUGGGCGAAAUGGAGUGCAAACCAGUACAACAAGUAGAUUUCAGAGCCCUGAUGAACAUCCCUCCUGACAUUCUGUUUGAAAUAAAGUACUUAUUGAAGAGUUCAAUGUACUAGUUUUCAAAUUUUGAGAGUACUUUGAGGACAUACAUGGCCAUGUUUUCACAACCAAUUUCUGGGACACACUGAAAGGACUGAUUACUUGCUAAUAUGUUUUUUUCUUA